CAUGGCUCAGGACGAACGCUGGCGGCGUGCUUAACACAUGCAAGUCGAACGAUGAACCGCUUUCGGGCGGGGAUUAGUGGCGAACGGGUGAGUAACACGUGGGCAAUCUGCCCUGCACUCUGGGACAAGCCCUGGAAACGGGGUCUAAUACCGGAUAUGACUGUCCAUCGCAUGGUGGAUGGUGUAAAGCUCCGGCGGUGCAGGAUGAGCCCGCGGCCUAUCAGCUUGUUGGUGAGGUAGUGGCUCACCAAGGCGACGACGGGUAGCCGGCCUGAGAGGGCGACCGGCCACACUGGGACUGAGACACGGCCCAGACUCCUACGGGAGGCAGCAGUGGGGAAUAUUGCACAAUGGGCGAAAGCCUGAUGCAGCGACGCCGCGUGAGGGAUGACGGCCUUCGGGUUGUAAACCUCUUUCAGCAGGGAAGAAGCGAAAGUGACGGUACCUGCAGAAGAAGCGCCGGCUAACUACGUGCCAGCAGCCGCGGUAAUACGUAGGGCGCAAGCGUUGUCCGGAAUUAUUGGGCGUAAAGAGCUCGUAGGCGGCUUGUCACGUCGGUUGUGAAAGCCCGGGGCUUAACCCCGGGUCUGCAGUCGAUACGGGCAGGCUAGAGUUCGGUAGGGGAGAUCGGAAUUCCUGGUGUAGCGGUGAAAUGCGCAGAUAUCAGGAGGAACACCGGUGGCGAAGGCGGAUCUCUGGGCCGAUACUGACGCUGAGGAGCGAAAGCGUGGGGAGCGAACAGGAUUAGAUACCCUGGUAGUCCACGCCGUAAACGGUGGGCACUAGGUGUGGGCAACAUUCCACGU
rnacentral:rRNA from 1 species